UACGUAGGGGCGAGCGUUGUCCGGAAUGAUUGGGCGUAAAGGGCGCGUAGGCGGCUUUGCAAGUCAGUAGUGGAAGUCCAUUUUUCAAGGAUGGAAGUGCUACAGAAACUGCGGAGCUUGAGUGCAGGAGAGGUUAUCGGAAUUCCCGGUGUAGCGGUGAAAUGCAUAGAGAUCGGGAGGAACACCAGUGGCGAAGGCGGGUAACUGGACUGCAACUGACGCUGAGGCGCGAAAGUGUGGGGAGCAAACAGGAUUAGAUACCCU
rnacentral:rRNA from 1 species